rnacentral:lncRNA from 1 species
UCUCGUCGUGGGCCGUACAGGGCCAGGAGAAAUUUAUCAUGAAGAGUAAUGGAGUGGAGUCAUGGCUGUCACCAUGGCUCGUACUGGGUUAGCAAUCAAAUUGCUAAUCGAAUUGCUAAUCGAAUUGCUAAUCGAUCCUCCUUCAACACUUGCACUGGGUUAAAUGUCAAUCGUAUUGAUCAUUUAACCCUAGAAUGAUUCUUAAUCGUUGAUCAACCAUC